rnacentral:lncRNA from 1 species
UAGUUUAUUUGUUUUACUUUCAACUUCACCAAACCCAAAUCCCCCUUUUUACUUUCUUGUUUUAAAGUCUUUGGUUUAUAUUUUUAACUUUGUUUCUUUUUGAUUUUGAGUCAGUUUAGAGGUUUUAGCAAGCCCUCCUAAUCCCCGGUUUAGAAUGAUCCCUACUUACAUACUUUGCUACAAUUGUCAAAAGAGGGUUUAAUUUGUGUGCUUAUAUAUUUCGCAUCACCUAGCUAAAACGAGUUUAGCUCCUCAUGUUCGCAAAACAAAGAUAAAUUAAAUUAAACAUUGGAAACAAAGGAUGGAUUACACCUAAAAACAUUCCAGCAAUCCAAGCUUGAAUGGCAGCACAUCCAAGGGUCCUCUUUCUUCUUCUUUGCUGCGGCACAAGGUAUAGGUAUAGGGUUGAGAUGGAUUGUAUGAAAGGAUGUGUGUUUAGAAUGGGAUGUGUUGAUUGAUUCCCUAAAGGCUACAGCAAUGGCCUUUAUUUAUAGGGGAAUUUAGCUAAACCCUAAUUAAUUUUGGAGACAGAUUUAUAUACCAAAUCCUCAAAGAAAAAGGUAAUUAAAUGUCAGAAUUCAAGGAAGAAGGGGAAAGAAGGGUGUGGCAGGAUCCUAGAGGGAAAAGGGAAUGCCUUGCACGGCAAGGGAAAGAGAAAGAGAAAGGGAAAGGGGUUUGUGCGGCAAGGAAGAAGAAUGAGGAAAUAGGUAAGGACAAUGCAGCAAGGGCUUUUAGCGAGGCAAUGGGCGAUUGUUACUCUUAACGAUCGAUUGUGAAUUGAAACCUACUUUCAAUUCUCCCUUUAGUGAUUAUACACAUUUAGGGCUUCCACAAACCAUGAGUGACACCUAGUAGUAUGUCAUGGUUACCCAAGCUAAUCAUAAGAGGUGGAGAACCUAUUCAGUUUAGGAUUACAAUGCAAUACUGUUUUUCUCUAAUACAAUACUCUUGACCACAUUGUUUGGUUUGAUAGUUUAAUCAUGUCUACUAUCCAAUGUGAUUCAUUUACUUAUAUGAUUACCUUGAAUGUGAUUUGGAACGACUUCCUAAAUCUCAUUCAUACUCUGGCCAGAGAUUCUUAAUCAUAUCAUAGAUUAUUCUCCCUCAAACAGUUUGAAGGUUAGAGAUACCUUGUUGCGCAUUCACUUGCCUCCAUGGCUAAGUGGCUUAACCCCAACUAUGCCGUGGACACCCUCUGACAGAGUGACUUUGACAUAGUCAACGAUCAAGGAUCUAACCACAAGACAACUAUGAUGCCUCAAGUCCAAAGACUACUUUGCAUUAUCCCAACCAUGAGUUCUCAUGUGACAUGAGUAUGAGAACUCCUCAUUGAUCGUGUUCAGUGGACUCAUUCUCUAUUGAGCACUUACAUGCUUGUCUUGGUGUCAAUCACACCAAUGACUCGAGACCAGUCACUCUCCCUAAGAGAAGACACAGCACGUACUGAUUUUAACAGACUGUCAAUGCCCAAUUGGCAAUCCUAUGAUCAGGAACGUUUAUAUUGAUGGUAGUGAUGGUAGUAAGUACAUUAGUGCUGAGAUAUAUUUUGAGAUUAUUAUCCUACUGUAAACACGGGAAUUCCUGCGAUGAAUGAGACAAGAACACGUGUACAAAAUAAUAUUUGUAUUAAUGAUUUAGGGGUUACAAUCUCUUCUACGAAUUUGGCCUCUGAUUCUAUCUUUGAAACGUGUAGAUGUAGUGUUGUUGAUCCAGGGGCCGUCGAGGCUUGAUCUUGGACGAACAGUUGAUGAAUGAUGAACACCUUCUUCAAGGGCCGUCGGGGCUUGAUCUUGAAUGGGUGGAAGUUCUUCAAGGGGCGUUGGGGCUUGAUCUUGAAGGAGGAUUUCACGAAGAACGAAGAGGGCUUUCUUGAUCCUUCGGGAUUUGCUUGAGAGCUUCUAAGUUUCGAGGCUUCAAGGCUUUGGUGUGGUGUGACUUCUCUUCCAAUUUGGGAGUAGAGAAAGUGUAUGUAAAAAUCCCCUCCUUGAUUCUUUGAUGGAGGAGCCUAUUUAUAGGCUUUGGGAAUGAACCACCACCAUCCAUUUGUUUUAGUGGAUGUUGUAGGUGAAUUUGGGUGUAUGUUGUAGGUGAAUUUGGGUAGGUGAAUUUGGGUGGAGGUUGUAGUUUUAAUGCAAUGGUCAACAUUUAUUUCACUAAAAUUUCAAUGUUUACAAAUGUAAUUUUAAUGUGAUGGCUAACAUUUAUUUCAACGAAAUUUCAAUGUCUACAAAUGCCCCCACUUCAAGGCGCGUAGUAUACAUGUGCUUGCCACGUGUAGAAGAUGCGUUUUGAAGUCCCUUAAUGUAGAUGUCGAUCCAAGGGCCGUUGAGGCUUGAUCUUGAACUGGUCUGGGAGUUUCUUCAAGUGCCGUUAAGGCUUGUUCUUGAAUUUUGUUUGAAAUUUCUUCAAGGGCCGUUGAGGCUUGAUCUUGGAUGAAAUUGGACCACAAGGAGCUUCACGUAGUAGACGAUCCUUGGCUUUGAUAAUGGAUGAAUCGGCACAUAUUUUGUUGUGCUUGUUGACUUUCCACAGCUUUGAUCUUGAACUAAGCUGGAGGAGUUUUCUGGUUUCCUCCAACGGACUUUCCACAGACUUAAUC